UUUCUUCGGGGCAGGGUGAUCGAAAUCCUUGGAAAUCGAAAUUCCCUACCGGCGGUAUAGUCCGCGACCCGCUUUGGCGGCUGAUUUGGUGAAAUUCCAAAACCGACAGUAAAGUCUGGAUGAGAGAAGA
rnacentral:ncRNA from 1 species